rnacentral:rRNA from 1 species
UACGGAGGGAGCUAGCGUUGUUCGGAAUUACUGGGCGUAAAGCGCACGUAGGCGGCUUUGUAAGUUAGAGGUGAAAGCCCGGGGCUCAACCCCGGAACUGCCUUUGAUACUGCAUGGCUUGAAUCCAGGAGAGGUGAGUGGAAUUCCGAGUGUAGAGGUGAAAUUCGUAGAUAUUCGGAAGAACACCAGUGGCGAAGGCGGCUCACUGGACUGGUAUUGACGCUGAGGUGCGAAAGCGUGGGGAGCAAAC